ensembl:lncRNA
UUAGUAAUAAUAACAAUUUUAGUAAUAGUAAUAAUAAUGGGUGUAUCGAUAUGAUUAACACUGGUAUUAACAUUUACAGUAACACUAGUGAUGGUAUUGGAACAAAAAACACCCAUAACGAUGAAAACAUAAAAAACUAUAAUAUCACUAACUUGCUAUCAAAUUACCUAAAAAAUAUGAAACAAACGAAUAAUAAUGGAUUAAACCCACCUUACAAUAUUCUUUAUAAAAAUAACAACACUCAUGAAUUACUAAAUAUUUUAAAUAUAAUAAAAGAAAACAAAGAUAAAACAGAUGUUAAAAAUGUACAUUCUCCCAAUACUGUAUACAUGAAUCAAAUUACUACGAAUAAUACUAAAGGAAUGUUAUUAAAAAAUAUUAAAAAAAAUAUACCCGAACAAUAUAAUAAUUAUUUACAUAAUAAACAGCAAAUACAAUUAUCACCACAUAUGCCUAUAUAUAAUUAUCAAAGUAAUAGUAAUGUUACAAAUACAUUAACUAAUGCUUCUAUUGAUACUGUUAAUAUGUGUGAGAACUUAGGAAAAGAAAAUGAGUUAAAUAUAUAUAAUGAUAAAUUACAGAAACAACAAUAUGAAAAACGCGAUGAUGCUAUAUCUAUCUAUAAUAAUACUGCUAAUAAAAAUGAAAUAAACCAAAAGGGAAAAAAAAAAUACAAAUAGUAAUAAUAAUACAACUUUUUUAUUGCCUAAGAAUAACAAUACAGAUAUAGCUACUACAGAUGUUACCAAUACAGAUGUUACCAAUACAGAUGUUACCAAUACAGAUAUAGCCACAACAAAUAUAACCACAACAAAUAUAACCACCACAGAUAGUAACAAUAUUUUUAAAAAUGAAAUGAAUGAAUAUAUAAAAAAUGCUUGUAAUGAAAUAUGCUUAAAAAGUACAGAUGUUAGUAUAUUUAAUAAUUUUAAAAAUAUUAGUAAUAAUAUUAGCAAAAGUAUUGGUAUUAUUGAUAUUUUUAAAUUUUCCUUAUUUCAUAAUUAUAAUUAUUAUGUAUAUAAAAAUAUAUUAUAUAAUAAUUAUAAAAUAUUAUGUACUCACAAUAUAAAAUAUAUAUUUUUAGAAAAGAAUUUUAAAUUGAAUGAUAAUACAAAAGAUAAAACAAACAUAAAAGUAGAGCUAAGAAAUGAAGACAUUGUUGCAUUAAGUUCACCUUUCUCUAUUAAUUUUACCCAUUUUUAUUUAUUUUUUAAAAACUUUCAAGAAAUAAACGAAAUUUAUCGUAUAAAAAUAUGUUCCUAUAUGUUAUAUAAAAUUAUUAUUAUGCAUGAAGAUGAUGAAGGAUAUGGUAGUUUUUAUAAUUUAAUUUUAAAUUUUCUGAAUAAUAAUACUUUAGUUUGUUUUUUAUUUAUUCUGAUUAAUUUAGUAAAAAAUUAUUCAAUGAAAAAUACAUACUUGAUUAACUUGAUUGAAAGAUUGUUACCAAUGUUGACAAGAAAUAGGACUACCAACAGUUCAACACGUAAUGUUAAUACUUUCAUGGGUAAUAAUGAUACUAAUAUCUCUCGAUCACGUUCCACAACAUCCAAAUCAGAUCAUAAAAAAAAUGUCGUUUUUAAUAUUUUAUAUUUUAAACUAUUACGAAUAUUAUUUGAUACUAUUGAAAAAACAAAUGCAGAAAAAAAAAAACAUUUAUUACUACUUUAUUUAAGAUAUAUUAAAAAUUUUUUAUUAAACAUUUGUUCUUGUUCUAUCAUCACACAAUAUAUUUAUAUAAAAUGUAUAGAUCUAAUGAAUAAAUAUAAUAACCAACAAUACAUUUUAAUUAAAACGAUUUCAAUGGAUAUAUUAUUACAAUUAUGGAAUAAUGAUUUUUUAAAAAAUUAUAUUUUAGACGUAGGGAAAUGUUUAAUAAGGUUUUUAAUUUUUAUUAGUAAUAUAGAAUAUAUAAAUAAAAAUAUAUUAUUAUUUAUUUUAGCAGAUAAAGAAAAAAAUAAUGGUUCUAACCAAGUAGACAUACAGAAUGACAAUAUUAAUUUUUUCCAAUAUACCAAAUAUUAUACACAACAAAAAAAAAAAUUAAAAUUUUAUGUAAAGUACUUCCAAAGGGUUGGUAGUUGCGUAUUGAAUGUGCAUAGACAUGAUGAAAGUAGCGACAGCAUGAAUAUGGUUGAUUAUAUUUUUUUAGAUAAAUUUCAAGAACAGGAUAAAAAAGGAGACAAAGGAGAUAAUGGUCCUAAUAGUGUUGCUAAUAGUGUUGCUAAUAGUGUUGCUAAUAGUGUUGCUAAUAAUGGUCCUAAUAGUGGUACUAAUAGUGGUACUAAUAGUGGUGUCAAGAGUAGUACCCAUACAGAUAAGCUUACCGGUUUUAAUAAUAAAAUAAAAAAGAAUUCUGCUAAUAAAAUCAUAAAUAAUCAUUCCAUGAGUGGUACUACUAACACAAGAAUUAUUACCAGUUCAAACUAUACUUUGUUCGAUUAUAUUAUUGAAAGUGAUAAACAUUAUAAUUACUUUAAAAUUUUAUUAUCUCAUGAAGAAAAAUUGUGUUUAAAUUUUUUACUUAAUAUGUCUAUACAAAAUAAUACUUUUCAUUUUUUUUUAUUUUAUAAUUUAUUUAUUGAAAAUAAUCUUAUACAAAUAAUACAUGAAAAUAAAUUAAUUUAUUAUGUAGAAUAUAUUAAAAAUAGAUCUCGUUUCGAUUCAUUAGAAUAUGGUGUUACUAAUUUUUUUAAAAAAAAUAAAAAAUUACAUGGAUUGACGAGUAUAUUAGAAGUUGAAACAAAUGAAAUUUUGAAUGAGGAAAAUAGGAAAAGCGAACUCGAAAUGAAUCAAACAGAUAAAAAAUCAGAUGUUUCAAAGAUUUCAAAUAUGGCAAGUGUGUUAAGUGAAAAUGCAAACAAACAAAGUAAAAGAACUUUAUCUUUUGUACAAUCUACACAUAUCAAUUAUUCAAAAAGGUUGAAAAAUGAUCCCACUGAUACCUUAAAUGAUUCUACAGUUUUACAAGACAGUAACAAUAAAAAAGUUUGGAAAGAAAAGAAUAAUAACAUUGUUGGAGAAAGUAGUAAUAAGGUAUAUAAAGAAAGCAGUAACAAGAUAAACUCAACUAGUGAUACUAACAACUAUAAUAGCGGAAAUAAUAGCGGAAAUAAUAACGGAAAUAAUAGCGGAAAUAAUAGCGGAAAUAAUAGCGGAAAUAAUAACGGAAAUAAUAACGGAAAUAAUAACGGAAAUAAUAGCGGAAAUAAUAACGGAAAUAAUAGCGGAAAUAACAGUGGAAAUAACAGUGGAAAUAGCAACGACGGAUAUAUUAAAGAAAAUUUGUUAUAUAGCCUACAUGGUGUGAUUAAAAAAAGUAACAGUGUUGUAUCAAAAAUAUACAGUUCACAUAUAAAAUUAAGUUUUUUUUUUAAUAUAUUUUUUUAUAAAACUAAUGACAUAAAUAGCAUUUUAUCAAGUAGUUUAUUUACUUAUUGUAAAAAAUUCAAAACUUUUAAAAAAGAGGUACCUAAAAUGAUUAAAGUUAUGAAUAUAAAUAAUAUCACUCAUAUACUGAUUACUAAAUUUUUAUUACAUUUAGUUAAAGAAAUAAAAAGUGUACAUUGUGAUGCGGUGUAUAUAAAAAGAAAUAUAUGGCGUAGUAAUAGUUCCACAACAGUAAUUGAAAACAACAAAAAUGAUACUUACGAAAAAGAAUCUGUUGAAUUUGAUUAUGAUAUGAACGUUAUGAAUAUAAAAAAAACAGACUUCCAUAUAUGUUAUACAUUUUUAGAAUAUACGUUAAAAAAAGAUAACGAUACAACUAACACAUUUUUAAAUUAUUUAAACCAAAUUAUAUUACACCUUUAUGAAAAAAAAAGAGAAAAUAUAAUAUUAAGUGUUAUAAUAACAUUUACUAUCUAUAAUUUUAUAACAUUCUUUCAAAAACAAGAAAAAAAGAUUUCUUUAGAGGAGAUUGAAAAUAUGACUUUAGAACAUAUUUGUAAUGAAAUAUAUAAUCAUUGUUUAAUUGGUUUAUUAUUAAAACAGAAUAAUUUUUAUAUACAUACAAAAAUUGACUUUAUUUAUGUUAAUGAUAUAUAUACACAUGAGCUAAAAAAUCAUUUAAAAUUUAUUCCUAAAAAUAUAAAUAAAGAACUUUUUUUUUUAUUAAAUUUUAAUAAAUAUGCUUUUCAAAAAGGGCAAUAUAAAAAAAUAGAAACAAUUAAAAUAUUAAAAAAAAAUAUAAAAAAUAAAUUAUACACUUCUGAGAUAUUAAAUUAUAUUUAUUAUAACACUUUGUAUUUACUUAUUCAUUUUUUUGCAAAUAUAAAAUAUUACCAUUUACUCUUUAUUAAUUCACAUAAAAAAAAUGCGUUUUAUGAGUCUCCUAGCUCGUGUUAUAUAGUACAAGCAGAUGUUGAGAAAGUUACAUCCGGCAAUAACACUGGUAGUAAUCGUAUUGGAAGGACAGAGAAUGUUACAAAAAAUGAACUUAAUAAAUGUUAUACCAACCAACAAAACAAAACCCACUGUGAAAACCAAAACCAAACAUACGGUAAAAACCAAACAUACGGUAAAAACAAAACUUACGGUAAAAACCAAAUCGACUGUGUUAAGGUCAAAUUAAAAAAAGAACCGUACAUCAAUUAUUUUAAAAAAAAGCUGUAUAUAAUAAAAUAUUAUAAGAAAAUAAAAAAACACUUAGUCCAAAAUUUAAAAACGUAUUUAUCAGUUACUAAUGUAAGUAAAUAUAUAAAAAAUGUAAACGAAGAUAAACUUUUUUUUAAUAUUUUAUUUAAGUAUGACAAUUCAGCUUUUUUCGUUCAUACCUUGUUUUUACAAGAAGCAAAAAGUGAAAAUAUCAACGAAAAAGUUUGUUUAAAUUUCGAUGGGGAAAUAAAAAAAAAAAAUAAGCGCAUGUGCACA